GUUUUUCUCCUCUGCACACGCAGGAGAUUGGCACUACUCUGCAGCGGUGUCACAGCCCGCAGUCAUUUAAUGCCUCUUCUGGUGAGGCCGGGAUUCCACGCCCAAGUGCAUUUAGUAGCUUUACCCUUCGUAGAAGAUCGGCAAGCGGAAAAACGUGACAGUAAGACUGAGUUAUGAACUUUGAAAAGUUGAGAACAAGUAACUACUUGUGCUGUGAAAGCUGGUCUCUCUGCUCUUGAUUAACUGUCUGCAAUAGGUCACUGAAAAUCUUCAUGAAUGACAGAGGAAGAAAAAAAGGAAAGAAGGGAGACAAAAGGAAGGAAGAUUUUGGACACGAGAAUGAAUGACUUCAGACUUGGAUCACAUCAUUAAUUUCUUUUAUUAAGUUUCUUAAGUAGCACGAGUUUUGCUGUGUGUAUUUGGAAAAAUUCAGAUGAUGGUACAUGUUUUACAAGGUCUCUAUGCAAAUGACAUGAGGAGCACUGGAUGACUUUUGCUCACCACACACAGUAGAUUAUUACAUUCUGAAAUGUAUCAUCUUUACAGGUUUAUAAAUACAAACUUUUUAGCAACUAUAAUAUUAAAAUGAAGUAUUCUCAGAAAAUAAGUUAUUUUGUGUGAAUUCUGAUGCUGUACUUAUCUGGCCCCAAAUUCUAGUCUUCAAUCAAACCAUAAAGAAAAUUUCCCUCUGAAAUCAUCCAGUAUUGUGCAGUUUAGUCUUGGCAAUGGUUCUUCUUCAUUUUUGUUCUCUAGAAUGUUAAUCUCAUGGAAUCCCUCUUCUAAAGAAAAAUUUUCUUUAUUCUACAAAUCUGAGGCCUGCUAUACUUUAUCCUAUUACCUCUUUGAGAAGUCUUCCUGCCCCUCCCUGCAAAAAAAGUUUGUACAAAUUUAUUUAAGCUUCCAUUUUCUCACUUUAUGUGGCCACAG